rnacentral:lncRNA from 1 species
UGAAAAGUUCCAAUGGACACCCAUCACCGUGACACCAGACUAGCGUGUUCAAAGAAAUUUGACCACCCAGCUGGGUGAUUUCACCGCAAAUCGCGGUAAACAGCGUGUCCGGACACGAUGCUCGCCGAACACGCUGAUUCGCGGUGAAAUCGCGGCGGAUUGCGGUGUUCAUGAUAUUGUUUUAAAAUAUGCUAUUUUUCAUUUUAUUUUAACCAAAAAUUAAAAGAUAUAUUUAUGUGUAUGUUAACACAAAAUAUCAUCGUAAUUUUUCAGUUUCAAUGUUCGUCUGCAAGGUAAUUUUGGAAACUUUUCAUAUUUUGCAGGUACAGCACUUGACACGAAGCGUAUACGACGAGACAGUGCUUAAUAAACAAUAAAACUUGUAAAUUCAGUUGUUUUAUUUAGAGUUCACUUUUGCAGUUUUGUAUGUUUGUUGCAAACUUCUGUUGUUAUACUAACAAUUACUUUAAUACGAUUACGUUAUUUAAAACCCUAACGAUUAAUCUUCGUUCACAGUUUGGCAUGGAGUUAGAUAAUUAUUUAAGAGGGCAAGAUUACGAAAAAUAGUGCUGAGUAAGAGCCUUGGAAGCAACAACUUACAAUUUAAUAUUUUUUUAAAAAUUUUUUUUGUAAACAUAAUUUUAUUAGCAUUAAAUGUCAUAUAUGUUUAUAGCCUCAUAUAAAACAAAAACCUGUGUAUCGGUAAUGCUUACAGAAAUUAUUUUGUGUUUAUUAUAUAAUUCAUAUUAUGUAUUCACUACUGACAAAAAUUGUUUAUUCUCCAUUCUGUAUUAUUUUCGGCAAGAUUAAGAUACUUCCAUAUUCGUAAUAUUUGCAUAUUCGUAUUUUUUCAUAAAAUUUUGUCUGUGUAAUAGACUAAAGGGAACAGAAACAAAAUAUGAAAUAGAAUUAUACUGUUUAGUUUUAACAACUGCACGUGUAUUUGUCACGUUAUGUGUGUGAUUAUUACAUGAUGAUUUAUAGAAUAUGUCUGUCUGUCUGUAUUUUGUGUAAAUAAUCUUCGAUUGUUGGUAU